UGGGGAAUUUUGGACAAUGGGCGCAAGCCUGAUCCAGCCAUGCCGCGUGCGGGAAGAAGGCCUUCGGGUUGUAAACCGCUUUUGUCAGGGAAGAAAUCUUCUGAGUUAAUACCUCGGGAGGAUGACGGUACCUGAAGAAUAAGCACCGGCUAACUACGUGCCAGCAGCCGCGGUAAUACGUAGGGUGCAAGCGUUAAUCGGAAUUACUGGGCGUAAAGCGUGCGCAGGCGGUUUUGUAAGACAGAGGUGAAAUCCCCGGGCUCAACCUGGGAACUGCCUUUGUGACUGCAAGGCUUGAGUGCGGCAGAGGGGGGUGGAAUUCCGCGUGUAGCAGUGAAAUGCGUAGAUAUGCGGAGGAACACCGAUGGCGAAGGCAAUCCCCUGGGCCUGCACUGACGCUCAUGCACGAAAGCGUGGGGAGCAAAACAGGAUUAGAUACCCUGGUAGUCCACGCCCUAAAACGAUGUCAACUGGUUGUUGGGAAGGUUCCUUCUCAGUAACGUAGCUAACGCGUGAAGUUGACCGCCUGGGGAGUACGGCCGCAAGGUUG
rnacentral:rRNA from 1 species